rnacentral:rRNA from 1 species
UACGAACUGUGCAAACGUUAUUCGGAAUCACUGGGCUUAAAGGGUGCGUAGGCGGCUUAUCAAGUAGGGUGUGAAAGCCCCCGGCUUAACCGGGAAUUGCGCCCUAAACUGACGAGCUGGAGUGGGACAGGGGUGUGUGGAACUUCCGGUGGAGCGGUGAAAUGUGUUGAUAUCGGAAGGAACGCCGGUGGCGAAAGCGACACACUGGGUCUCAACUGACGCUGAGGCACGAAAGCCAGGGAGCGAACGGG